CCCCCUCCCCCACGCCGCCGUGCUUACUGGGCCUGGGCCGCUGGGGGCU
rnacentral:precursor_RNA from 1 species